UUCUGUGUGGCGUGUCCGUGUUCUCCCUGUGUCUAAAUCGGGUGCGAAAGCUUGUCUGUCUCUCUGUUGUCAGAUUCUUGUCUAGUCAAGUCUCACCUGUUUCCAUGCAUUCUUUACAGUGCUGACCUCUUCUGGCCAUACCUGGCUAUUGUCACUGGAAACUCCGCUUGUCUUGGUUCUCAUUGGAAACUGUAGCAUGUCUCUAUUUUCAUGGGUGUAUUCCUCUUCCAUUAUCAGCUAACAAUGGAUGGAGCUUGUCAAGUUGAGAGCUUGAUCAGACUGGGUGGAAAACAUAUGUGAACUUCAGGUCACUCCACAUCCUUUGGGGGUUUGGCCUUUGGGUGAGCCACUCAGGAACAGUCAGCUCUGUCUUAAGGCAGCUUCAGCAUUGUCUUGGCUGUUUGCUUCAGGACCUUUCUGCAUUUUGCUGCAUUCAUCCUUGUGACCACUUCCUGCUCCCUGCCACUCAGAAGCACACCCACAACAUCAUGUUGGCACCUUAAUGUUUCACAGUAGAGAUGGCAUUAGCAGGCGAUGAGCAGUGCC